rfam:Otolemur garnettii contig144846, whole genome shotgun sequence.
GGGGAGAGAGGUGUUUAAGCUAGUUUGCUGAGGCCACCCAGUGUGGGCUCAGGAAGGGAAGGAAUGUGACUGAGGCUGGGUGUGGCUGGGGAGCACAGCCAGUUAUGGGUUUUUCUUGGGGCUCUGAUAGAUGUGAGCAGAGCUGGAGGCCCCUCUCUCCCAGCCCCAACACACACACUAGGACCUUUCUUCA